CCCUAGCCCCGAUAGUAGUGGAAAUCCUUUUGUGCCGGGGUUCGGCACAAAAGAUUGAAGCGGAUAGCGGGAUUAAGC
rnacentral:sRNA from 1 species